rnacentral:rRNA from 1 species
AAAACGACUGCUAAUACCGCAUAAUGUCUACGGACCAAAGGGGGCUUCGGCUCUCGCCUUUAGAUUGGCCCAAGUGGGAUUAGCUAGUUGGUGAGGUAAUGGCUCACCAAGGCGACGAUCCCUAGCUGGUUUGAGAGGAUGAUCAGCCACACUGGGACUGAGACACGGCCCAGACUCCUACGGGAGGCAGCAGUGGGGAAUAUUGCACAAUGGGCGCAAGCCUGAUGCAGCCAUGCCGCGUGUGUGAAGAAGGCCUUCGGGUUGUAAAGCACUUUCAGUCAGGAGGAAAGGUUAGUAGUUAAUACCUGCUAGCUGUGACGUUACUGACAGAAGAAGCACCGGCUAACUCCGUGCCAGCAGCCGCGGUAAUACGGAGGGUGCGAGCGUUAAUCGGAAUUACUGGGCGUAAAGCGUACGCAGGCGGUUUGUUAAGCGAGAUGUGAAAGCCCCGGGCUCAACCUGGGAACUGCAUUUCGAACUGGCAAACUAGAGUGUGAUAGAGGGUGGUAGAAUUUCAGGUGUAGCGGUGAAAUGCGUAGAGAUCUGAAGGAAUACCGAUGGCGAAGGCAGCCACCUGGGUCAACACUGACGCUCAUGUACGAAAGCGUGGGGAGCAAACGGGAUUAGAUACCCCGGUAGUCCACGCCGUAAACGAUGUCUACUAGAAGCUCGGAGCCUCGGUUCUGUUUUUCAAAGCUAACGCAUUAAGUAGACCGCCUGGGGAGUACGGCCGCAAGGUUAAAACUCAAAGGAAUUGACGG